AUGGGGUCUCAGCCCUCGGCUUUUCCUGAGCCUCCCGGGCCACGCGCAGCAACCGCCAGGGAGGAGAUGGAGCUGGGUGUGCAGGACCCUGGGCCGAGCCCCUCUGAGGAUGAGAGUCCCCCUCGAGUGACAGGGAGGCCACGCUGGAAGAUGCUCACCAGGCACAGCACCCCUCAGGACACGGAGACAGCCCUGCACUGGAGCCCAAGGCCUCGAGGCCGGGCCUCCCACCUGCGAGAGUCCCCGUCAGCCCCACAUUAUGCCGAGGAACUCGUGUCCCAACCAGCAGGGCUCAGCCCUGGGGCCACCUUCAGGAAGAGGAGACUGUCAACCAUCUAUGCCUUGGAGGAAGGGCCCAGUGAGCAGUCAGAGCCCUGCUCAGAGCCCUCGGCUCUUGGGGAUGAACUGCCAGUGACAGCUGCGCUGGCUAGGCCACAGCAGAAGGCAGAGAACCUGCAAGCAGAGAGCUGGUCGCACAACCCAGGGCUGCCCGGGGUCUCACACACAGCUGGAAGGAAGAGACGGGACCCAAAGAAGCGGGCAGCUGUGAUGCUGCGGGUGAGACAAUGGGAGGCCCGCCUGCUGCAGGACAUCGAGGCAGCUGUCCAUCAUGAGCUCACCAUCCAGGUCGAGGGCGCGCCUAGCACCGGCAUGGUCCAGGUCAUGGCCCAGGAGACCACCACUUCCGGCUGAUUUCACCGUCCACACCCACCACCUUGUGGUCCCUUGUGGCUGCGAUAGGUGCGGAUCUUGUGCCUGAGAUGCUAAGGGGCAGGAACUGGGGAUAGAGUCUAUGAUUUAAAGAGGCCUGGUUCUUUGUGGUGUGGUACUUGGAAAGACCCCGGGUCUGACUGAACUCCUGCCCUCCACCAUCUGGACUGGUCACGGGGGCAUCGCUCUGCUUGUCUGACCCUCGGUCCUUAUCUGGAGAAUGACAAAAACCUGUCCAGAGGUAAUGAAGAGCCAAGGCCCGCGUGAGGGUGGCCGUGUGUAUCCAGCUCUCUCUGUCCUGCGGGUCCCUCGCUGCUCUGGGUUGAUUUCAUUCAGCAAUCUGGUGGUAGGCGGUUAAAUCUCCUUGCGCCUGCGCAGACCAGCAGGGCAGAGGGUGGGCAGAGGGUUUGCGGAAGGAAAUGGGUGGCAGGCGUUCAUCGGGGGACCCAGGUGGAGGGGACGGUUUCCUUGCUGGUCCUAGUGGGUUCUCUGGAUUCCCUGACAGCGUUGUAAUCUGCAGGGCAGCUUCUGUGGCUUCCUGGGUGGCACUGGAGGAAUUUGAUCACCUGAGGUGCUGCACCCCUCUGCUUAGGGUCCGGGUUCUCCCAUGGAGUGGAUCUGUCACCCCCAGACCAUAGAGCAAGUAAGCUCCAGGGCCGAGGAGCUUUUGCUCAAUACAAGACCAGCCUCAAAUCACAUAUGGUGCAGGUCUUUUGGGGUCACCUUUGUAGGGUGUCACGGCCACUUAAAUACAGAGCCAGGUUGUAUUCUUGAAAAUGUCCACCGCCCACACUUCAUCUAAAAAGGAUUGCUCUUUUCUUGCUAAAAACAAGUAUGCUUACAUUUCCCGUGGAGGCUGCACGGUCUCCUGCCCGGCCCCUGUGUGUGUCCAUGGCAGGUGAGGCAUGGGGACAAAUGGUUAUUGCUAUUGUGGCAUCGGGAGGGGCUGCUCUACACAGGAGACCUCAGACUGGGCCCAAAGCCAGGGCAUGACAGAUGCUAAGGACACACAACAGGGCGUGUUUGAACGGGUGGGGGAAAGUUUCACCGUCACCAGCAAGGUGGGAAGCAAUUCAGAUGCAGGGCACGCUGGGCGAUUCCAGCGGGAAGAAGACAAGGAGAUUCCUCACAAAGGGAUGAGGGCCACACUAGCAGCGGAUGUUGGGCGGAGACUUCAAAUUCAUCCGAUGUCCUUUGUAGGGAACAAGAACUCCUGGACCGCAUUGCAUGUCUAAACAGUGGCAAGUUUCCUCCGCAAGUUCCACCUACUUGGACUGCUUGCUAUUUGCUUUUUUCUAAUUAUCAGGUUGUAAAAUUGUCAGAUGUAUACAUUUAUUGUUUCAAAUAAGAAAAGGUAAAACUGUAAAGCAGAAAACUGGAGCUGAGAUAAAAGACUUAAGGGCUAGGGCCGGGGAUUUAUCUCAGUGUUUCGCCGCCUGCCAUGCAAGCUUGCAAGUGCAAGGGCCGGAGUUCGAUCUCCGGUACCAAAAAAAAAAGACUUCAGGGCUAUUCCUUCUGACCUUUAGUGCCAACAAUAAAUUGUUCUCAGGAAACUGCUUUAAGUCUGCACGCAAUGCAAAUUGAUCCCUUCACAAGGUCAAGUGGACUCUGUUGUUCCUCUUGUUUUUCAAAAAAUGAAAUUGAACUUCAGAAUGAGUCCAGGCAGCUCAGACGCACCUUCCUGGCAAGCGCAGGGUCCUGAAUUCGAUCCCUGGUUCUGGAAAAAAAAAAAAAAAAAAAAAAAGUGAGUCAAGCAGGAAUUUGCAGAAAUGUGUUCUUAAAAGAGUGGAGCACUUGAAAGGUCUGUGUGGCCAAUGAUCUCCUAGAGGUUUAUGCUUCCCUUUCUAGGAUUAUUAUGUCUUUAUCCACUCAGAUGGUUAAGAUGUAAUUCUCUGGAGUCUGGAGUAUUUCACAGGGGAGACAGGGAAUCGUGUGUAUUCUCUGCCCUUGAGAAGAUGCCAGGAAGCCCAGAGCAGAAGGGAGGGGCGCUACCACCCAAGUGCUGGACACACGUCUUUCAGAGCCUUUCUGGAGAAGAGGUGUCUGUGAGAGACUGGACACGGAGCCUGCUGGGGUUAGACAAGCAGCGGGAUUCCUAAAGGAAGGAUGGUGCUUGGGAGAGGCUCACGUAGAGAUAAGCACAGGUCUAACCUGUGCCGUACUGUAGCAUAAAAAUGAUUUCCUCAACCCUCACAGUGUGUGCAGAGCCCCACAGUUUGCAGCCAUAAAACCCUCCAAGGAAAGGAAAUGAAUGCAUCAAAUAGCUUCUUUUUCUCAGUAGUUUUCCUCCAAAUGAAAAUGCCUGGACCUCCGUGAAGCUGCUUCCCCUAACUCCUGAACAUCACAUUUGCACCUCUGCCUGCACAGCCACGGCCCCCUGCUCAGUCGGACAUGGAGAGCUGGGGUGUGGCACUGCUGUGCUCUACCAGCAGGCCCACCAGUGCCCACCAGUGCUCACCACCGGUGAUGUAGAUUUACUCUGCCACCCGAGGAUGCACAGUUUGUGUGUUUGUUUUCUGGAGACACCUCUUCCUGUUAGCUUAGUGCAUGGAUUCCUGCUGCAUUUUUGUUCUCUGGGUUGCAUAAGUGGUUGCAAACUCAGCGCUGCAGACACCCACCCCUGCAUUACCUGCUGCCUCUGGGCUCUGCCUGGAGGUUGCGGUGAGAUCAGGCGGCUUCGUACCUGGAGGGUCUGGGCAGGAAUCCAACUCUGGAUUCAGUAGCUUGGCAGAAAGUGGUUCCGUGGGGUGGUUCUGCUUCCUCCCUGGCUGUUGGGGGCCCAGUUCUGUCCCCAGACCCUAAAGGUCCCACGUGUUCCUAGUCACAUGACUACUUGUCUUCAAGCUGCCAGCAGCUGCCCCAAACCUACCAUCCUUGGAAUCUCUCUGGCUUCUCUUCCUGCCUCCAGCCAGAGAAGUUCCCUGCUCCCAGAGCCCCUGAGAGGCGCAGGGUCCUAACCCAUGGCACAGGCAGGAGUGAAGCCCCUUCCCACCCCAGGUCCUACUUGAGGGGCAUGGCAUCUCAGGGGGCAUCUUAAGAAGUCUGCCCGUUCCCAACUUUCCAUCAUCAUCAUCAAAUGCUAAUAACCCUUGUGCAAAAUAAGUAUUCACAUCUAGGAUUCAUAGCUGGAGACCUAGGGCUCAUUCUACUAUAUUAAAAGCUGGUAUUACUAUGUGGUAGUUCCUGUGGAGUUUUGCCAGGCAGGCCAUAAAUCCCCGUGAGCAUGUGUGCAAGUGUGAGUCACUAUGGCUUUGCCAGUGCAAGCACACUCUUUUAAGAACAUUGGGAGGUGAAUAUGGAUGUCAUUGUUUAUAAUCCGCAUUCAUUUCAUUAACAGUUCUGUGCUUGUCCACAUGUUUUCUGGUUGGCUAUAUUUUUUCUCUGACUCUGUAUAUGCUCUUUGAUUUUCUUAAUUUCUCAGGCU
ensembl:lincRNA